rnacentral:lncRNA from 1 species
CUGCCCCACCAUCAACGCCGACCGUCUCUGGUCUCUCGACCCCGACGGCGUCAAGGAUCCCGUCAUGGCUUGUGACGUCUAUUCUGCCCUCUUGACCGGUAUCACCCCACCUUGCUGCCCCGAGAUUCACGGGCAGAAUAGCUUCCCCGACAGCCCACGUUAUUAAACCCCUGUUGUUGAAGGAAUUCUUCCUUGGGCUCCCUCUAGAGCGAUGGAGAUUCUCACCGGCCGCCAUUCUCCUUCUCUCCUUCCUCCAAACCCUAAGAAUUCCCUUGAGGAUAGCCUCCCAAGUAGAUAACAUGGUUUAAGGGAAGGGGACAGGGACUGGGGUGAGAGAAGCAGGGCUCUCAGAUGAAAGAACAACGCCAGAAUGAAGCUACGAAGGGGCCGAGGGGUUUAAAUAGCCGAUGAAUCCUGGCGCAGUUAUGGCGGCGGG